rnacentral:lncRNA from 1 species
GUGAGAAAAACAUGUCAAGAACGAACCUCCAGUUAUGAAAGCGCUUUUCCAAGUUCUGCGAUUCCUGCUGCUCUGCGCUCCGAUUAUCUCCCUUCCAGCUCCACUCCAGCAACUCGUCGUGCUUUGGCAGGUUCUUCUUGACAAUGUGUGCUUUUCCUUGAAUUGUAUUUUGAUACCGAUUUAUCUUGUUCUUAACCUGCGUAUUUCCUGUAGACUGCUGCUAUUGUAUUUGCUGUGCAUUGUGAAAUAA